UUGAUUUGGAGCAAUGAUUGAUCCUAUGCGGCAAGUGCUGUUGCUCAAAAUCACAUAAAUUUGGAAGAAUGAGCCUGCUUUUGCGUGAAUCCGGUUAUUGCUCUCUGCCACAGACUAUAGGAUUCCCAGGCGUCCAACUUGACUAUAAAUUACGCUACACAACUCUCUGCUCUGCCAAUUUUAGUUGAUUCUUCGCAAUGAUUGAUCCUGGACGGCAAGUGCUGUUCCGAGGAAUCAUAUAAAAUUGGAAGAGUGAGCCUGGUUGUCGCGGAAUUCAUCUUUGUCAAAAACUUUCAAUAUCCGAAUCUUUUCUUCAAGCUACCUUGUGGAUAGAACUGCCGUUUAUUCUUUCCAUAGUUCUCUUCUCUUCAAAAUUCAGGUUGAUUUGGAGCAAUGAUUGUUCCUAUGCGGCAAGUGCUGUUCCUCAAAAUCACUUGAAUUUGGAAGAGUGAGCCUGCUAUGAAUAGAAAUAUAGCAAUCCUUUCCGGUCGCUUGAAGGAAAAGAGCCGGAGCUUCCAAGGUCUUUCUUUUAGGUAGAGGGAUCUGCGUGUCGAGAUUUGGUCAACUAUGAAGACCUAUUCAACUAGUAGUUCUCUGCUAUUUCAAAUUCAAUUUAAUUGAAAGCAAUGAAUGUUCCUGAGCGUCAAGUGCUGUUGCUCUUAAUUACGUGAAUUUGAAAUAGUGAGGCUCACUAUCUAGUUGAAUACGUACUUCUAUGUCGCCAUGAUCUGGACAGGUGAUUUGUCCCGAGGAUUAAUUAGAAUUAGUAAAUUGUGAUCUACAAACUGCAAUUGUACUUGAAAUUACAAAACCAUAUUUCGUCAGAAAAGCUCGCAUUUGGCCACUCACAGAACCCACUGAAUACAAGGCCUAAAUUAAUUAUUUUCCUGUCAACAUUCGUUGACAAAAUAACUUAGAACUAAUUUACUUAAUUAGAGAGAAAAACAAUGAUUACUUCUCUUUUUUUUAAUGACGUCACAAGAUUUCACUUGGACCAGAUUUUAUUUUCAUAUACUCACAUUCAAACAUCUCAUUUAACAAACAUUCAUCAAGCCACUCAAUCAUUUCAUUUCCACUCAUUCCCAUUCAUAAUUUUCCAGUUAUUCCAUUCAUUCACACUUUCCCAUUCAAUAAUCACAUUCAUCCUACUUUAUUACUACUAAAACAUGAUUCUAGGGCGCCCUUAAUUUAUGGUUGUUUCUUCGACCACUCUAGCGUCUCUUAUUCUAAGAGAACUGGUGAUCUUUCUGCGAAACUUAAAUUUAAUGAACCGAUCUCAAUGCUGCUUCUUUACUCUCUCGCAUGCGAGAAAAAAUUGCAAGCAACAUGAGAGGCUCUUAACGAUUACAGCGAAUGUCGACCAUACCAGGUUGAAAAAGCCUUUUACUCAGCCCUGUGUAUGUCGACUAAAUAAAGAAAGCUCUUGUGUGGGUGUGAAAUGUCAAAACUUGUUUACAUUUCGUCCGAAAUAGAAGAUAAAUCACCGUGAACCGUGAAGAUUUUUCACUGUUUCCACGGUUUCCCAACAAUUUGCAGGAAAAAAGUUAAGGUGCAACUACGAAUAAAUUAUUGGCUGCAUAGUGUCAUAGUGAACGAAGACCAUAAUAAAAAAUAAAAAUGAACAGAAAAGAAA